rnacentral:rRNA from 1 species
AGUGAACGCUGGCGGUAGGCCUAACACAUGCAAGUCGAACGGCAGCACAGUAAGAGCUUGCUCUUACGGGUGGCGAGUGGCGGACGGGUGAGGAAUACAUCGGAAUCUACUUUUUCGUGGGGGAUAACGUAGGGAAGCUUACGCUAAUACCGCAUACGACCUACGGGUGAAAGCAGGGGAUCUUCGGACCUUGCGCGAUUGAAUGAGCCGAUGUCGGAUUAGCUAGUUGGCGGGGUAACGGCCCACCAAGGCGACGAUCCGUAGCUGGUCUGAGAGGAUGAUCAGCCACACUGGAACUGAGACACGGUCCAGACUCCUACGGGAGGCAGCAGUGGGGAAUAUUGGACAAUGGGCGCAAGCCUGAUCCAGCCAUACCGCGUGGGUGAAGAAGGCCUUCGGGUUGUAAAGCCCUUUUGUUGGGAAAGAAAAGCAGCAGGUUAAUACCCCGCUGUUCUGACGGUACCCAAAGAAUAAGCACCGGCUAACUUCGUG